GACCUCGGAUCAGGUAGGGAUACCCGCUGAACUUAAGCAUAUCAAUAAGCGGAGGAAAAGAAACCAACAGGGAUUGCCCUAGUAACGGCGAGUGAAGCGGCAACAGCUCAAAUUUGAAAUCUGGCUCUUUUAGAGUCCGAGUUGUAAUUUGCAGAGGCGCUUUGGCUUUGCAGCGGUCCAAGUUCCUUGAACAGGACGUCACAGAGGUGAGAAUCCCGUACGUGGUCGCUGGCUAUUGCGUGUAAAGCCCCUUCGACGAGUCGAGUUGUUUGGGAAUGCAGCUCUAAUGGGAGGUCAUUUUCUUCUAAGCUAAAUAUUGGCAGAGACGAUAGCGCACAGUAGAGUGAUCGAAAGAUGAAAGCAUUUGGAAGAGAUCAAACAGCCGUGAAUUGUGAAAGGAAGGCUUCAGCCGACUGCUACAGUGCCAUCCGGUUCUACCGUGCCUCUCUGUAGCAGCCACAUCAUUUGGCGUAGAUAAAGCUCUGCACUACUCCUUCGGGAGCCUAUAGGGAGAGACUACUACAGCUGGAUAAGUCAGGCUCUCCAGAUCUGCUAUGCU
rnacentral:rRNA from 1 species